rnacentral:rRNA from 1 species
AUUGAACGCUGGCGGCAGGCCUAACACAUGCAAGUCGAACGGUAGCACAGAGAGCUUGCUCUCGGGUGACGAGUGGCGGACGGGUGAGUAACGUCUGGGAAACUGCCCGAUGGAGGGGGAUAACUACUGGAAACGGUAGCUAAUACCGCAUAACGUCGCAAGACCAAAGUGGGGGACCUUCGGCCCUCACACCAUCGGAUGUGCCCAGAUGGGAUUAGCUAGUAGGUGGGGUAAUGGCUCACCUAGGCGACGAUCCCUAGCUGGUCUGAGAGGAUGACCAGCCACACUGGAACUGAGACACGGUCCAGACUCCUACGGGAGGCAGCAGUGGGGAAUAUUGCACAAUGGGCGCAAGCCUGAUGCAGCCAUGCCGCGUGUAUGAAGAAGGCCUUCGGGUUGUAAAGUACUUUCAGCGGGGAGAAAGGCGGUGGAGUUAAUAACUUCACCGAUUGACGUUACCCGCAGAAGAAGCACCGGCUAACUCCGUGCCAGCCGCCGCCGUAA